AUCUUUGUGCAGUGGCAGUAUCGUAGCCAGUGAGGUUUAUCAGAGGUGCGAUUAUUGCUUAAUGGAAAAAAAAAAAAAG
rnacentral:snRNA from 1 species